GACGUAGGUGGCAAGCGUUGUCCGGAUUUACUGGGCGUAAAGAGCGCGCAGGCGGUCGUAUAAGUCGAAUGUGAAAGCCCCCGGCUCAACUGGGGAGGGUCAUUCGAUACUGUUCGACUCGAAGGCAGGAGAGGGAAGUGGAAUUCCGGGUGUAGUGGUGAAAUGCGUAGAUAUCCGGAGGAACACCAGUGGCGAAGGCGACUUUCUGGCCUGUUCUUGACGCUGAGGCGCGAAAGCUAGGGGAGCAAACGGG
rnacentral:rRNA from 1 species